GACGAACGCUGGCGGCGUGCUUAACACAUGCAAGUCGAACGGAAAGGCCCUGCUUUUGUGGGGUGCUCGAGUGGCGAACGGGUGAGUAACACGUGAGUAACCUGCCCUAGACUUUGGGAUAACUUCAGGAAACUGGGGCUAAUCCCGGAUCGGAGCUCCUGCUGCAUGGAGGGGGUUGGAUAGUUGCGGCGGUUGGGGAUGGACUCGCGGCUUAUCAGCUUGCUGGUGGGGGAGGGGCUUACCAAGGCUUUGACGGGUAGCCGGCCUGUGAGGGUGACCGGCCACAUGGGGACUGCGAGACGGACCAGACGCCAACGGGAGGCAGCAGUGGGGAAUAUUGCACAAUGGGCGGAAGCCUGAUGCAGAAACGCCGCGUGCGUGAUGACGGCUUGCGGGGUGUAAAACGCUGUAGCUUGUGACGCAGCGGGAGUGACGGUAAUGGGUGAAGAAGCACCGGCUAACUACGUG
rnacentral:rRNA from 1 species